rnacentral:rRNA from 1 species
AUACGGAGGAUCCGAGCGUUAUCCGGAUUUAUUGGGUUUAAAGGGAGCGUAGGUGGAUUGUUAAGUCUGUUGUGAAAGUUUGCGGCUCAACCGUAAAAUUGCAGUUGAAACUGGCAGACUUGAGUACAGAAGAGGUGGGCGGAAUUCGUGGGGUAGCGGUGAAAUGCUUAUAUAUGACGAAGAACUCCGAUUGCGAAGGCAGCUCACUAGACUGCAACUGACACUGAUGCACGAAAGUGUGGGUAUCAAACAGGAUUACAUUCCCUGGUAGUCCACACAGUAAACGAUGAAUACUCGCUGUUUGCGAUAUACAUUAAGCGGCCAAGCGAAAGCAUUAAGUAUUCCACCUGGGGAGUACGCCGGCAACGGUGAAACUCAAAGGAAUUGACGGGG